GUGGGGAAUAUUGGACAAUGGGCGCAAGCCUGAUCCAGCCAUGCCGCGUGAGUGAUGAAGGCCUUAGGGUUGUAAAGCUCUUUCAGUAGGGAAGAUAAUGACGGUACCUACAGAAGAAGCCCCGGCUAACUUCGUGCCAGCAGCCGCGGUAAUACGAAGGGGGCUAGCGUUGUUCGGAUUUACUGGGCGUAAAGCGCACGUAGGCGGAUUGGUCAGUUAGAGGUGAAAUCCCGAAGCUCAACUUCGGAACUGCCUUUAAUACUGCCAGUCUCGAGUCCGGAAGAGGUGAGUGGAACUCCUAGUGUAGAGGUGGAAUUCGUAGAUAUUAGGAAGAACACCAGUGGCGAAGGCGGCUCACUGGUCCGGUACUGACGCUGAGGUGCGAAAGCGUGAGGAGCAAACAGGAUUAGAAACCCGUGUAGUCC
rnacentral:rRNA from 1 species